GACGAACGCUGGCGGCGUGCCUAAUACAUGCAAGUCGAACGCAGUGGGGACGGGUGAGUAACACGUGGGUAACCUCCCAUCAGAGGGGAUAACACUUGGAAACAGGUGCUAAACCGAUACUGAUGGAUGGACCCGCGGUGCAUUAGCUAGUUGGGUAGGUAACGGCUCACCAAGGCCACGAUGCAUAGCCGACCUGUGAGCGUGAUCGGCCACACUGGGACGUAGCACCGGCCCAGACUCCUACGUGAUGCAGCAGUAGGUGAUCUUCGGCAAUGGACGAAAGUCUGCACGAGCAACGCCGCGUGAGUGAAGCAUGUUUUCGGAUCGUAAACCUCUGUUGUUAGAGAAGCGGUAUCUAACCAGAAAGCCACGGCUAACUACGUGCCAGCAGUCGCGGUAAUAC
rnacentral:rRNA from 1 species